GUGCUCACUUCGGCAGUACUUAUCCUAAACUUGGAAUGAUACAAGAGAUUAGCAUGGCCCUUGCACAAGGAUGACACGCAAAUUCGUGAAGCAUUCCAUAUUUUU